AGAGUUUGAUCCUGGCUCAGGACGAACGCUGGCGGCGCGCUUAACACAUGCAAGUCGAGCGAGAACCAGGGCUUCGGCCCCGGGGAAAGCUGCGAACGGGUGAGUAACACGUGAGUAAUCCACCCUCGGUACCGGGAUAGCCCGGGGAAACCCGGAUUAAUACCGGAUGGCCCGACAGCCUCUCGAGGCGGUCGGAAAAGGUAGCUUCGGCCUCCGACCGAGGACGAGCUCGCGGCGGAUUAGCUUGUUGGCGGGGUAACGGCCCACCAAGGCGACGAUCCGUAGCUGGUCUGAGAGGACGAUCAGCCACACUGGGACUGAGACACGGCCCAGACUCCUACGGGAGGCAGCAGUGGGGAAUCUUGCGCAAUGGGCGAAAGCCUGACGCAGCGACGCCGCGUGCGGGAAGAAGGCCUUCGGGUUGUAAACCGCUUUCAGGAGGGACGAAGCCACUCGGGUUAAUAGCCCAGAGGGUGACGGUACCUCCAGAAGAAGCCCCGGCUAACUACGUGCCAGCAGCCGCGGUA
rnacentral:rRNA from 1 species